rnacentral:rRNA from 1 species
AGAGUUUGAUUCUGGCUCAGGAUGAACGCUAGCUACAGGCUUAACACAUGCAAGUCGAGGGGCAGCAUUGGAGUAGCAAUACUCAGAUGGCGACCGGCGCACGGGUGAGUAACACGUAUCCAACCUGCCGCUUACUCGGGGAUAGCCUUUCGAAAGAAAGAUUAAUACCCGAUGGUAUAAAGAGUUCGCAUGUUCUCUUUAUUAAAGAAUUUCGGUAAGCGAUGGGGAUGCGUUCCAUUAGAUAGUUGGCGGGGUAACGGCCCACCAGUCUACGAUGGAUAGGGUUCUGAGAGGAAGGUCCCCCACAUUGGAACUGAGACACGGUCCAAACUCCUACGGGAGGCAGCAGUGAGGAAUAUUGGUCAAUGGACGCGAGUCUGAACCAGCCAAGUAGCGUGAAGGAUGACUGCCCUAUGGGUUGUAAACUUCUUUUAUAAGGGAAUAAAGUGAGGGACGUGUCCCUUUUUGUAUGUACCUUAUGAAUAAGGAUCGGCUAACUCCGUGCCAGCAGCAGC